rnacentral:RNase_P_RNA from 1 species
AGAGCAAACUGGGCGGUCGCGCAUAUCCUUUGAGAUGUGUGAGGAAAGUCCGGGCUUUACAGGGCAGAAUGCCAGCUAACGGCUGGGCGGGGCGACCCGACGGAUAGUGCCACAGAAAAGGAAACUCCCAAAGUUGAAACACACUUUGAGAAAAGCUGAAAAGGUGCGGUAAGAGCGCACCAGUGUCUUGGCAACAAGGCAGCUUGGUAAACCCCAUUCAAAGCAAGAGCAAAUAGGGAUGCAGACAAUUGGCCCGAUUAGCAUCCGGGUUGCUUGCUGGAGGGUUAUGGCGACAUAACUCCAAGAUAAAUGACCGUCUUAAACGACAGAACCCGGCUUAUAGGUUUACCUCUUGUG